rnacentral:rRNA from 1 species
AGCAGCCGCGGUAAUUCCAGCUCCAAUAGCGUAUAUUAAAGUUGUUGCAGUUAAAAAGCUCGUAGUUGAAUUUCGGGGUUAGUAGAUUGGUCAUGCUUCUGGUAUGCACUGGUCUUACUGAUUCCUCCUUCCUGAUGAACCGUAAUGCCAUUAAUUUGGUGUUGCGGGGAAACUGGACUGUUACUUUGAAAAGAUUAGAGUGUUUAAAGCAAGCUAACGCUUGAAUACAUUAGCAUGGAAUAAUGAAAUAGGACGUUCGAUCCUAUUUUGUUGGUUUCUAGGAUUGACGUAAUGAUUAAUAGGGAUAGUUGGGGGCAUUAGUAUUCAAUUGUCAGAGGUGAAAUUCUUGGAUUUAUUGAAGACUAACUACUGCGAAAGCAUUUGCCAAGGAU